rnacentral:rRNA from 1 species
GCACAACGCGAAGAACCUUACCUACUCUUGACAUCCACGGAACUUUCAGAGAUGAAUUGGUGCCUUCGGGAACCGUGAGACAGGUGCUGCAUGGCUGUCGUCAGCUCGUGUUGUGAAAUGUUGGGUUAAGUCCCGCAACGAGCGCAACCCUUAUCCUUUGUUGCCAGCGGUCCGGCCGGGAACUCAAAGGAGACUGCCAGUGAUAAACUGGAGGAAGGUGGGGAUGACGUCAAGUCAUCAUGGCCCUUACGAGUAGGGCUACACACGUGCUACAAUGGCGCAUACAAAGAGAAGCGACCUCGCGAGAGCAAGCGGACCUCAUAAAGUGCGUCGUAGUCCGGAUUGGAGUCUGCAACUCGACUCCAUGAAGUCGGAAUCGCUAGUAAUCGUAGAUCAGAAUGCUACGGUGAAUACGUUCCCGGGUCUUGUACACACCG